AGAGUUUGAUCAUGGCUCAGAGUGAACGCUGGCGGCGUGCUUAACACAUGCAAGUCGAACGGUAACAGCAGUGCUUGCACUGGCUGACGAGUGGCGAACGGGUGAGUAAAGUAUAGUUAAUUUGCCUUUAGGAUAGGGAUAGCCAUUGGAAACGAUGAUUAAUACCUAAUAUACCUUAUUAUGUAGUGUAAUAAGGGAAAUGCUUUUGUGCCUAAAGAUAAGACUAUAUGGUAUCAGGUAGUUGGUGGGGUAAGAGCCUACCAAGCCAAUGACGCCUAGCUGGUCUGAGAGGAUGAUCAGCCACACUGGAACUGAGACACGGUCCAGACUCCUACGGGAGGCAGCAGUGGGGAAUAUUGCACAAUGGAGGAAACUCUGAUGCAGCAACGCCGCGUGGAGGAUGACGCAUUUCGGUGUGUAAACUCCUUUUAUAUGGGAAGAUAAUGACGGUACCAUAUGAAUAAGCACCGGCUAACUCCGUGCCAGCAGCCGCGGUAAUACGGAGGGUGCAAGCGUUACUCGGAAUCACUGGGCGUAAAGCGCAUGCAGGCGGUCUAAUAAGUUGGAAGUGAAAGCCUAUGGCUCAACCAUAGAACUGCUUCCAAAACUGUUAGACUAGAGUCUGGAAGGGGAAGAUGGAAUUAGUAGUGUAGGGGUAAAAUCCGUAGAGAUUACUAGGAAUACCAAAAGCGAAGGCGAUCUUCUGGAACAGUACUGACGCCGAGAUGCGAAAGCGUGGGGAGCAAACAGGAUAGAUACCCUGGUAGUCCACGCAGUAAACGAUGAAUGUUAGUCGUUGGUAUCCUAGAGAUAUCAGUGAUGCAGUUAACACAUUAAACAUUCCGCCUGGGGAGUACGGUCGCAAGAUUAAAACUCAAAGGAAUAGACGGGGACCCGCACAAGUGGUGGAGCAUGUGGGUUUAAUUCGAAGAUACGCGAAGAAACC
rnacentral:rRNA from 1 species